AUUCCAGCUCCAAUAGCGUAUAUUAAAGUUGUUGCGGUUAAAAAGCUCGUAGUUGGAUUUCUGCCGAGGACGACCGGUCCGCCCUCUGGGUGAGUAUCUGGCUCGGCCUGGGCAUCUUCUUGGAGAACGUAUCUGCACUUGACUGUGUGGUGCGGUAUCCAGGACUUUUACUUUGAGGAAAUUAGAGUGUUUCAAGCAGGCUUACGCCUUGAAUACAUUAGCAUGGAAUAAUAAGAUAGGACCUCGGUUCUAUUUUGUUGGUUUCUAGAGCUGAGGUAAUGAUUAAUAGGGAUAGUUGGGGGCAUUCGUAUUUAACUGUCAGAGGUGAAAUUCUUGGAUUUGCGAAAGACGAACAACUGCGAAAGCACUUGCCAAGAGUGUUUUCAUUA
rnacentral:rRNA from 1 species